rnacentral:rRNA from 1 species
UACGUAGGGUGCAAGCGUUAAUCGGAAUUACUGGGCGUAAAGCGUGCGCAGGCGGUCGGGUGUGUCAGAUGUGAAAUCCCGAGGCUCAACCUCGGAACUGCGUCUGAAACUACUCGACUAGAGUACUGGAGAGGGUAACGGAAUUCACGGUGUAGCAGUGAAAUGCGUAGAUAUCGUGAGGAACACCAGAGGCGAAGGCGGUUACCUGGACAGUUACUGACGCUCAGGCACGAAAGCAUGGGGGAGCAAAAGGG